CUCUUGUUUGGUUUGGCCUCUGCUGGGGCCCAGUGCAGGAGCUCAGUUAGAAACCACAGCCUCCGGUAAACUCCUUCUCACAACUGAAAUGGGUUUUACGUCCUCGCAGAUUUGGUGUGAGGAAGAGGUUUGUACCUUGUGAAGAGGUUACUUUUGGUUUUCCUUAAAACCUAGAAACACAAAGAAAGGCUGUGCCCUAAAGGACAGGAGCAAUGUUUUUCACUUCACAGUGUAAUGGAUGGAUGGAGGAGGAAGAUGUCUUGAGAGUUUGCUCAUUUAAAGCAGUGAUUGCAAUAUUGUUCUAGAAAGUGGGAAAUGAUGUGAAGAAAGUUGAAGAAAGAGCAUGCAGAGGUCUGCUGACUCUGAGGAUUCUCUGUUCCUCUGCCCAGAUGAUCAUUGCAGAAUAUUACAAGAUCAUGCAUGGCUAAAGGAUUUGCUCAAAGCGUGUGAUAGAACGUGGAUUUUAUUACAACAGAAGAUGAAGAGUUUAUGAAAAGUAUUUCAGAUUCACAUCACAACUGUGCUCUGAAAGAUUACUACUUCCCAAAUUUUAGUGUAAUAUUAAAGAAGAAUGGUCAAAACUCCUAAAAAGGACUUUUCAGUAUUCCUCUCUUUUCCAACUGUGUACUCUGUGAAGCUGGAUUUCUUCCAUAUACUUCAACCAAAACGAUAUAUAAGUACAACUUGAAUCCCAGAGCAGAAACUGUAGCUGCUUCCCACUGAGUCGGAUGUCAAAAGGACUUGCAAGAUGUACAGCAAUGCCACUAUUCUCACUAAUUGGAAAUGUGCUUGUUUGUCAUUAAAGUAGGUCACCUAAA